rnacentral:rRNA from 1 species
GACGAACGCUGGCGGCGUGCUUAACACAUGCAAGUCGAACGGAAAGGCCCCUUUGGGGGUCCUCGAGUGGCGAACGGGUGAGUAACACGUGAGUAACCUGCCCUUGACUUCGGGAUAACUUCAGGAAACUGGGGCUAAUACCGGAUAGGAAUCCUUGCUGCAUGGUGGGGGUUGGAAAGCUUCGGCGGUUUUGGAUGGACUCGCGGCUUAUCAGCUUGUUGGUGGGGUAGUGGCUUACCAAGGCUUUGACGGGUAGCCGACCUGAGAGGGCGACCGGCCACAUUGGGACUGAGAUACGGCCCAGACUCCUACGGGAGGCAGCAGUGGGGAAUAUUGCACAAUGGGCGGAAGCCUGAUGCAGCAACGCCGCGUGCGGGAUGACGGCCUUCGGGUUGUAAACCGCUUUCAGCAGGGGCGAAGCUUGUGGUGACGGUACCUGCAGAAGAAGCACCGGCUAACUACGUG